rnacentral:rRNA from 1 species
CCUACGGGAGGCUGCAGUGAGGAAUAUUGGUCAAUGGACGGAAGUCUGAACCAGCCAUGCCGCGUGCAGGAUGAUGGCCCUAUGAGUUGUAAACUGCUUUUGUAUGGGACUAAUAUUUUCUACGUGUAGGGAUUUGAAUGUACCGUACGAAUAAGGUUCGGCUAAAUCCGUGCCAGCAGCCGCGGUAAUACGGAGGAUUCGAGCGUUUUCCGGAUUUAUUGGGUUUAAAGGGUGCGUAGGUGGACGGUUAAGUAAGUGGUCAAAGGUCGGGGCUAAACGCCGGACCUGCCGUUGAUACUGUUCGACUGGAGAGCGGAUGCAGUGGGCGGAAUGAGUGGUGUAGCGGUGAAAUGCUUAGAUAUUACUCAGAACACCGAUUGCGCAGGCAGCUUACUAAUCCGCAACUGACGCUGAUGCACGAAAGCGUGGGUAGCAAACAGGAUUAGAUACCCUUGUAGUC